rnacentral:other from 1 species
GUUUCAGACGAACCCUUCACCGGGUUGAAGN